CGCACCUUGCGCUCGCUGGUAUUCCGGCGAGCAUGCCUGUUUGAGUGUCAUGAACUCUUCAACCCACCAAUUCCUUGUUGAAUUGAUUGGUGUUUGGAUCUUGAGCGUUGCUGGUCUAGCCUCUAGUGGGCCAAGACGAAGCUCGUUCGUAAUACAUUAGCAACUCAAUUUCGAACUUUCGGAUUGACUCGGCGUAAUAGACUAUUCGCUGAGGACAUUAGCUCGUCUAAUGGCCGAAUUUCGAGGUAGAAGCUUCCAACUCAUAAUUUGAAGUCAAAUUCUCUUAGAUUAGACCUCAGAUCAGGCAGGAUUACCCGCUGAACUUAA
rnacentral:misc_RNA from 1 species